rnacentral:rRNA from 1 species
CAAAAACAUGUCUCUUUGUAAAAUAUAAAUAGAGAGUCGGGCCUGCUCGGUGAAUAAGUUUUUAACAGCUGCGGUAUUUUAACUGUACUAAGGUAGCAUAAUAAUUUGCCUUAUAAUUUGAGGCUAGAAUGAAUGGUUUGACGAAGGUUAAUCUGUCUCCAUCUUAUUUUUUAGAAGUUAAUUUUUAAAGUGAAAAAGCUUAAAUCUUUCAAAGGGACGAGAAGACCCUAAUGAGCUUAUAAUUUUAUUAUCAUUAUUUAAAACAUUUAGGUGGUGGUAUAUAAAUUUUAAUUGGGGUGAUUAAGGAAUAAAUUGUGUAUAGUAACUUCCUUAAAUUAGGUAUUUGUAGAUAAAGUAACCAAUGUAAUAUUGCUUAUAGUAUAGUUACCAUAGGGAUAACAGCGUAAUUCGUUUAGAGAGUUCUUAUUGAAAAACGAGAUUGCGACCUCGAUGUUGGAUUAAAGUAACCCUAAGGUGCAGAAGCUUUAGUAGGUAAAUCUGUUCGA